rnacentral:rRNA from 1 species
CCUACGGGAGGCAGCAGUGAGGAAUAUUGGUCAAUGGACGAGAGUCUGAACCAGCCAAGUAGCGUGAAGGAUGACUGCCCUAUGGGUUGUAAACUUCUUUUAUAAAGGAAUAAAACGAGGCACGUGUGCCUUUUUGCAUGUACUUUAUGAAUAAGGAUCGGCUAACUCCGUGCCAGCAGCCGCGGUAAUACGGAGGAUCCGAGCGUUAUCCGGAUUUAUUGGGUUUAAAGGGAGCGUAGAUGGGUUGUUAAGUCAGUUGUGAAAGUUUGCGGCUCAACCGUAAAAUUGCAAUUGAUACUGGCAGUCUAGAGUACAGUUGAGGUAGGCGGAAUUCGUGGUGUAGCGGUGAAAUGCUUAGAUAUCACGAAGAACCCCGAGUGCGAAGGCAGCUUACUAAACUGUGACUGACAUUGAUGCUCGAAAGUGUGGGUAUCAAACAGGAUUAGAUACCCGAGUAGUC